rnacentral:rRNA from 1 species
GGGUUGUGAGGUUAAGCGACUAAGCGUACACGGUGGAUGCCCUGGCAGUCAGAGGCGAUGAAGGACGUGCUAAUCUGCGAAAAGCGUCGGUAAGGUGAUAUGAACCGUUAUAACCGGCGAUGUCCGAAUGGGGAAACCCAGUGCAAUUCGUUGCACUAUCGUUAACUGAAUACAUAGGUUAACGAGGCGAACCGGGGGAACUGAAACAUCUAAGUACCCCGAGGAAAAGAAAUCAACCGAGAUUCCCCCAGUAGCGGCGAGCGAACGGGGAGCAGCCCAGAGUCUGAAUCAGCUUGUGUGUUAGUGGAACGGUCUGGAAAGUCCGACGGUACAGGGUGAUAGUCCCGUACACCAAAAUGCACAGGCUGUGAACUCGAAGAGUAGGGCGGGACACGUGGUAUCCUGUCUGAAUAUGGGGGGACCAUCCUCCAAGGCUAAAUACUCCUGACUGACCGAUAGUGAACCAGUACCGUGAGGGAAAGGCGAAAAGAACCCCGGCGAGGGGAGUGAAAA